rnacentral:misc_RNA from 1 species
CCCAACUAUCCCUAUUAAUCAUUACGUCAAUCCUAGAAACCAACAAAAUAGGAUCGAACGUCCUAUUUCAUUAUUCCAUGCUAAUGUAUUCAAGCGUUAGCCUGCUUUAAACACUCUAAUUUUUUCAAAGUAACAGUCCUGUUUCCCUGCAACACCAAAUUAAUGACAUCGCGGUUCUUCAGAAGGUAGGAACCAAUAAUGCCAGAGCGUACCGAGGCACGACCGACAAUCUGAUCCCGAAAUUCAACUACGAGCUUUUUAACUGCAACAACUUUAAUAUACGCUAUUGGAGCUGGAAUUACCGCGGCUGCUGGCACCAGACUUGCCCUCCAA